CACGUGGGUAACCUGCCUCGUAGUGGGGAAUAACUCGCCGAAAGGCGAGCUAAUACCGCAUAACACCCCUGGUGAGAGUCCAGGCGGUAAAAGCUUCGGCGCUACGAGAGGGCCCCGCGGCCGAUUAGCUGUUGGUGGGGUAAUGGCCUACCAAGGCGACGAUCGGUAGCUGGUCUGAGAGGAUGGUCAGCCACACGGGGACUGAGAUACGGCCCCGACUCCUACGGGAGGCAGCAGCUAAGAAUCUUGCGCAAUGGGCGAAAGCCUGACGCAGCAAUUCCGCGUGGGGGACGAAGGCCC
rnacentral:rRNA from 1 species